ensembl:lncRNA
CUGCUUCACACCGAGACCAUUUUCCUUUGCUCAGACGUACUCGCAGAUUUCGUCGUCUCAGAAUAUUUCACCUCCACAUCCAACACUGACAUUGCGUUUCUUCCAGAUGGCGGUCUCCAGGAUGCGGUCCGCCUGGGCGGCUCUCUGCAUCGCCGUGCUAGUGAUGUCAGGCUCUGCUGAAGGUGCUAGUUUGGUGACGUUAAAAGCGGCGAACACAGAACCGUCAUACUCUUAUGACUUAACCAUGGACGUCACCAACCGCAUCUACAGUGAUUCUCUCCUCAACCCUUACUCUGACGACUAUAAUAUGAUGUUUGGGGAAGUUAGCACUGCGCUCUACUCUGUCUACGGCUGCCCCACUUGCGACACACGCACGACUAUAAUAUGAUGUUUGGGGAAGUUAGCAGUGCGCUCUACUCUGUCUACGGCUGCCCCACUUGCGACACACGCACAUUUUAUCAAGGUGUAACAGCCAUGACCUUCAGUGACAAGGCUGGAUCUGUGGUUGUUCAGGCCACCAUCAUGUUCUACUCAGACCAAACCAAUGCCAUGGUGAUCAAGUACCUAUUUCUGCAGGCCGUCAAUAGCAGAAAUGAAAUAAAUGGCCUGAGAAUCAACCCUGGAUUCACACAGGUGUCUUCACAAUCCACAAGCGUUUCCCAUCCAACCACCACUCCAACCACCACUCCAACCACCACUCCAACCACUACCCCAACCACUACUCCAACCACCACUCCAACCACUACUCGUCUAAUAACAUGUGACCCAUAUUUAAGCAAUCAUGAUAUCAUUCAGAUAAUUAUGUCAUGUUUUAUCACUCCAACCCCUACUCCAACCACUACUCCAACUACUAUUCUAACUACUCGUACCACCACUCCUACAACAACUACAACCACUACUCUAGUCUAUUAAAACAGGGUGAACCCAUUCCUUUAACCGAUCUCCUGCCAUUACUAAAACUACUUAAUCAGAUUGUUUAAAAAAGAAAAAGAAAAAAAGAAACAGAUUGCAUGUAGUUAAUCAUAUGACAUGAUAUUAAAUUCAUAUUAAAACAGACGACACAUGAAACCCUUGAAAGGCUCGAUUAAAGUAUAAUAUUCUAUCUGUAAAGAGCACCUUUUUUCACACCUCCUGUGUUCAAACACCAUCUGAGUCACCGUCCAAUGGGCAAUCUGUAUUUUCUCUCCCAUUACCAUGGUAGAAAUGGGAUUUAGAAAUGUUCUGUUUUCUGAAGUCUAUACUUCAUAGCCUACCCAUUAACCUCCUACAACUACUUCACCUCUCAAUCACAAUACAUUUACAGAGUGGGAAUGAAAUAGUCCCUGCCCACAAGAUGUCAUGUGCCCACAUGUCAAAAGGACAAUGUUAAAAUCACUUUUGUUUGUUCAGAAAUGACUUAAAUAUCUGAUAAUCACCUGACAUCUUAAGAGCAUGUGUUUGUUACUCCUUAACAAACUUUUAACAUCGAUCAUUGCUCUUGUAUUUCUUAUAUGAUUCAAGAACCUAUGUUGUAAACCUGCCUUCACAAUUUUUACAUCAUUCUUCCUCUAUUCAGUAUCUUUCUUCUUUCUUUUUUCUUUUCAUUAAUGUCAUUUUCAGUUAAUCAUUAGAGGAAUAGAUGCAGAUUUGUCUACAAUGUCUCAAUGCCUGUUGUAAACAGCACAAAACUAAUAAAAUGGGAUUAUACAAGCUUGAAAUUUUUCCUCCCA